UAACACAUGCAAGUCGAGCGGUAACAUUUCUAGCUUGCUAGAAGAUGACGAGCGGCGGACGGGUGAGUAAUGCUUGGGAACAUGCCUUGAGGUGGGGGACAACAGUUGGAAACGACUGCUAAUACCGCAUAAUGUCUACGGACCAAAGGGGGCUUCGGCUCUCGCCUUUAGAUUGGCCCAAGUGGGAUUAGCUAGUUGGUGAGGUAAUGGCUCACCAAGGCGACGAUCCCUAGCUGGUUUGAGAGGAUGAUCAGCCACACUGGGACUGAGACACGGCCCAGACUCCUACGGGAGGCAGCAGUGGGGAAUAUUGCACAAUGGGCGCAAGCCUGAUGCAGCCAUGCCGCGUGUGUGAAGAAGGCCUUCGGGUUGUAAAGCACUUUCAGUCAGGAGGAAAGGUUAGUAGUUAAUACCUGCUAGCUGUGACGUUACUGACAGAAGAAGCACCGGCUAACUCCGUGCCAGCAGCCGCGGUAAUACGGAGGGUGCGAGCGUUAAUCGGAAUUACUGGGCGUAAAGCGUACGCAGGCGGUUUGUUAAGCGAGAUGUGAAAGCCCCGGGCUCAACCUGGGAACUGCAUUUCGAACUGGCAAACUAGAGUGUGAUAGAGGGUGGUAGAAUUUCAGGUGUAGCGGUGAAAUGCGUAGAGA
rnacentral:rRNA from 1 species